UUAACAUUAAUUACUGGUGGAAUAUUUACAUUAUCAAACAAAAAAGGUGGCGAACAAUACGACGUUUUGGAGAAAUCGCACUUAUCAACUGCAUCGUCUUUAUUUGUAACAAAGACGCAACAGCAAUUAGAUGAAAAAGCACAAACCAAGACACUGAAUCUCCAGUUCCUCCCUACAGAUGUUAAAAACCAGUUUCGCAUGCAUAUAGAAGACGGAGAUGUG